rnacentral:rRNA from 1 species
GCUGGGGGUGGAUGAGUGGCGAACGGGUGAGUAACACGUGAGUAACCUGCCCCGAACUCUGGGAUAAGCGCUGGAAACGGCGUCUAAUACUGGAUAUGUCCUAUCACCGCAUGGUGUGUAGGUGGAAAGAAUUUUGGUUCGGGAUGGACUCGCGGCCUAUCAGCUAGAUGGUGAGGUAAUGGCUCACCAUGGCGACGACGGGUAGCCGGCCUGAGAGGGUGACCGGCCACACUGGGACUGAGACACGGCCCAGACUCCUACGGGAGGCAGCAGUGGGGAAUAUUGCACAAUGGGCGCAAGCCUGAUGCAGCAACGCCGCGUGAGGGAUGACGGCCUUCGGGUUGUAAACCUCUUUUAGUAGGGAAGAAGCGAAAGUGACGGUACCUGCAGAAAAAGCACCGGCUAACUACGUGCCAGCAGCCGCGGUAAUACGUAGGGUGCAAGCGUUGUCCGGAAUUAUUGGGCGUAAAGAGCUCGUAGGCGGCUUGUCGCGUCUGCUGUGAAAACCAGAGGCUCAACCUCUGGCCUGCAGUGGGUACGGGCAAGCUAGAGUGCGGUAGGGGAGAUUGGAAUUCCUGGUGUAGCGGUGGAAUGCGCAGAUAUCAGGAGGAACACCGAUGGCGAAGGCAGAUCUCUGGGCCGUAACUGACGCUGAGGAGCGAAAGCAUGGGGAGCGAACAGGAUUAGAUACCCUGGUAGUCCAUGCCGUAAACGUUGGGAACUAGAUGUAGGGCCUGUUCCACGGGUUCUGUGUCGUAGCUA